UUGGAUUACUGCACUUCUGGAUCACAGGCUAUUCGCAGCUGGACACAUCCUUCUACACUGUAUGCAAACAUGCAACAUCAUUACACACAGUACAAGGAGUCAGACUGGCAUAUGAGGAGCAAAGGAACCCAGGCAGUAGCAUCGUUUCACAAUGUUUCCAUCACCAUCAUCAGUGGAUGCCUUUGCUGUCCGUAGCCUGAGAUUUCAGAUUUGCAGCAAAAAAAAUUUAUUUUCUCAUUUAUUGGAAUGCUGUGCAGGUAUUUGUACCUUGCAGCCAUCCAUUACAAUGUCACCAAGCCGUAACAAAAGCAGGAGAGGGAAAGUACAAGGCUAUGUUCCCAAAACACACAAGUGACAUACCUUAUGUGGAGGAUGUGAUCAGGCUUGUGUUUGAUGAGGUAUUUGAAGAUAAACUGAAGGAAGCCCUGAUUCCAAUGG